GGCAGAGUGCACUUCCGCCUGUUGGCACUCCCUCACCACACUCACUCACUCUUGCAGGUGGAGAAGAAGAAGGGGAGAGGAAGAAGAAGCUCAGGAAGAGCACACACGGCAGUGGAGCUGCUUGAACCACUGAGCUGCAGCUACUCUCUCCUUUAUACACAACCAAGUCAAGGUGGAGAAGAAGAAGGGGAGAGGAAGAAGAAGCUCAGGAAGAGCACACACGGCAGUGGAGCUGCUUGAACCACUGAGCUGCAGCUACUCUCUCCUUUAUACACAACCAAGUCAAGGUGAGUCAUUUACAAGGUAUGGCCUUACAGUGCUUUGCAGCUUCUAACACUACUUGCUACUGCUGCUGCUACUACUUGCUACUGCUGCCAUGCUGCUACUAGCAGCUGCAACUAUGCUCACUAGUCUUUGCCGCCCAAAAUCAAGUGGCAAGCCACGGCAGGUCAAAGAGGUAGAGCUACUACUACUAUAAA